UGUAUGAUGAGAAUUUGGUAUCUGAAUGACUUUGUCGAAAAUCUUUUUUUUACCAUACUGUUGCCUUCCUUCUGAACAC